GCUUAUGGCCAUACCAGCCUGGGUACGCCCGAUCUCGUCUGAUCUCGGAAGCUAAGCAGGGUCGGGCCUGGUUAGUACUUGAAUGGGAGACCGCCUGGGAAUACCAGGUGCUGUAAGCA
rnacentral:rRNA from 1 species